GAGACAUUUAUCAAUCAUUGCAAACAAACACACAGAACAUUGAAUAUGAUAUAAUAAAUCAAAACAGUUAAAAGCACAAGCAUUUUAAAUUUUGAUUGUGACAUCUCAGUAUGUUAUGAAUAACAAGACUUUAUCGGAUACUCAAGAAGAAUGUGAUCUAGGAGUUAUUUUUGAGAAAGAUCUUAAAUUUAGCAAACAUUUCUACUAAGAUUAAUAAGGCAAAUAGUAUUUUAGGCCUUAUUAACUGGUCUUUUGGAUUUUUAGAUGAAUACACCUUUGUGAAAUUGUAUACAGCUUUGAUUCGUCCUCAUGUUGAAUUUGCAAAUGUUGUGUGGAAUCCAUAUUUAAUAAAAGAUAUAUCAAGUCUAGAAAAACUUAAACAAAGAGCAACAAAACUAGUUUCAUCAUUAAAAGAUCUGACAUAUAUUGACCGUCUUAAAAAGCUUAAACUGCCAAGUCUAAUACAUCGCAGAUUUAAUAUGAGGGGACAUGAUUCAGACUUUCAAAAUAGUAAAAGGCUUAGAUGACUGUGUUUUUGGUAUUUUUUUUAGUUAUUCGGCAUCAACAAGGGGACAUAAUUUAAAACUAGAAAUGCCUCGUAGUAGAACAACUCAUUGCCUAAAUCGGUUUUCAAGACGUGUGAUUAAAACAUGGAAUAAUUUGCCAAAAAAUGUAGUAGACUCAAAAAGUGUUAAUGAAUUUAAAAUAAAACUAGACCAACACUGGACCGGAGACACUCCAUAUAAAGUUUAAAAUGUUUAUUGAAAAAUUAUGCUGUUAAAAUUAUACAGCAGAGUGACCAGAAAUAGAUAUAAGUAUAUAUAAUUAAACAUAGAAGUGGUGAGAGCAAUAAGAAGAAGUAGUGAAAGAUUGUCAAAAGAAGAGGGGCUUAAAAAGGGCUUGGCCCUUCCAUCAGAGCCCAGAAUCAUCCUACAGGUAUCCUACAGAAAAGCAAGGGGAUCAGCUUAAAUUCCAUAGAAAGGAAGGUGAAGGUUGUUCUGGUUGACAGUCAGUUUGCUCUGAAUUUAAAGAGCCCAUUAAGUAUGGAAAAUGUAACCUGAGAACAGUAUUGUCAUUUGACAUCCACUCUUGUGUCUGAAGCUGGAAGUAGCAUUUUAUUUCAUGAGAUGUCAGAAAAAUCUUCUUUUGUUCAGUUUAAGAUCCUGAAAACAGAGUUACAGAGGGGGUGGUUGAAAGUCUGAAGAAUGUACAGCAAGUCAUAGAUCAAGAAAAACAGCAAGAAAGAGAAAAGUUAAGCAGUGAUAUUCACAUCCAAAGUGCAAUAAAAGAAACCAUAUAGACCUACUUCAUUUGAUUCUUGUGACUUUAUGAGGUGUGCUGAAAUGAAUCCUAUGAUUUAUUUUUUGUAAACAAAUGAUUUGCAUAGUUUUUUUUUACUUUUUAGCCCACCUGUCACAAAGUGACAAGGUGUGCUUUUGUUAUUGCAAAUUGUCCGGCAUCUGUCUGGAAAACUUUUAUCUCCACUUCAAUUGCUAAGCAAAUUUCAUCCAAAGUUUAAAGGAAUUUUCCUAGGGAGGUCAUUUUUCAAAAUUGUUAAAAGAAUUGAGUUCCAUGCCAUGCCAAGCGAAAGAAAAUUAAAAAAAAC